CUUUCAUGACAGGCAUUUCUGCAUGUCUGCGUGUCUUAACCACACCCACGUGAAACACAUGCCGGGCACGUUUUAAGGCAGGAGGAUUUCAAACAGCCCAGCCAGUCAAUGCCAGGUGCUGCAAGAGGCUGGGGCUGCCAAGGGGCUGCUGGUGAUUGCAGAGAACCAGAGGCCCUGGGUGAGCUAGCCCUGGGCUGGUGGCAGCACGGGAGGGCGCAGUCUCCUCUCGGACCGGGAUGUGAACGUGCAGCUGGCUGCUAAAGGGAUGAGGGCUGUGGGCAGCUGGAGGGGUACCAGGCUGGAGAAGGGCUUUCACUGUGGGUCUUCAGAUGAUGAGAGGCCGUCGGAGCUCGAGCUGGAAGAACAAUUUCCAGGCAGCAGGUGCGGAGCUUGAGACCAAGGGUGGGGCCGUCUGAGGUCCCAGCACAGGCCUGGGAGCCCCCGUGCACGCUGCCGGCACGCGCCCACGGGCUCGGGAUGGUGGUCUUGGUGUUGCAUCUCACAGAUGACGAAACAAGGAAGCAAUUCGCCUGACCGCCCAGCUGGGAAUGGCGUCACCUCUCUGUCAUCUAUGUGCAGUUGGGUCACGUCUUAGAAGCAGGAAGAGGUUCUGCAAUCCCGUGUGGGCAUCCCAUCCCCACUGGCAAAUUCAGUAACCACAGCUCAUUUUCCCACAACGCGUGCUUUUUUGGUAAAUCACCCGGUUUGCAAUGACGAAGAGUGGGGAGGUGUUGAAAUAACCCAGAAGUGCUGGUCCACACGGGGUUUUUCUUCCUAGCACUUUUUUGUAAAUAGGGAACACCUUAAUGGUAGAUACAAAAUCUUAUCUGAGAAGAAAAACACCUUCCUUUGGGGUGACUUAGCGGCUGGGCCCUGUGGCUGAUGUAAGGCUUCGGGAGCCUCUGCGCCUGCUCUCUUUGCCUGGGGAAGUUCCAAGUUCAGGUGAUGAUCAUGCAAAGGCGUUUUGCCCUAGUUUCAAGCAAUAAAUUCAUGAUGACAUCCCCAGCGUGGAUCAGAUUUGAACUGGGUUAAAGUGUCUUCGGAGUGAAUGUUUUCUUCUCAGAGGAGGAGGCAGGCACCCCGUGUUUCAUCCUGGAGAGGAAAGCCUGGCCCAGAUGCCGGGAGACAUUCCCACAGGAUAGCUUGAUCAGGAUGCCAGCCGGUUUUGUUAGUGCUCUGGGCACAGAUUGCUGUGGGUUUUCUUGCUGUGCCCUCUCUCAACCCUAUUUUUUCCCCAGUGAUUUCUGAUAGAAAUCAAAUGUACAAAUGCAUAUGACCUGAUUGUUUCUCCUACAACUCCUUUUGCAUGAACAAUAACAAAAUGAGUAAAGAUAAAACAGUUCCUACAACCCGUGACCGCCCUCACAUGGUUUUGGAGUCCUUGAGGAGCAUGAUGCCCUAGGGCUAGACUCAAGGUCAGAUCAUGAUUGUGUGCUGAUCAUGUGUUGAACCCCCUACUCAAAAUUCUUUGGAUGUUUGGUUCAUUUGCUCAAUAAAUAUGAAGAGUGCCUUUUCGGCGUUACUCUUGUGCUGUGACACCUUCAGUCCCCUGGCUGGCCCUUUCUGAUCUUCGAUGUGUCAUCAUGUCUCCUCCCUUAUCCGCUGGUCAGAGGCAGAGAGGGGACCGACAAAUGUCAUUAUUAUUGCUACCCCAUUGUAAUAGAAACAAUGUAUUAUUUCUAUUCUAAUAAAUAUAUAAAUAACAUAA